GCCCGCGUGAUGGAACGGAAGACAUGCAUGGUUUAGGACCAUGUGUCCGAAAGGAUGUGGAGGUUCAAAUCCUCCCGCGGGCA
rnacentral:tRNA from 1 species